rnacentral:rRNA from 1 species
AGCGAACGCUGGCGGCAGGCCUAACACAUGCAAGUCGAACGAACUCUUCGGAGUUAGUGGCGGACGGGUGAGUAACACGUGGGAACGUGCCUUUUGGUUCGGAAUAACUCAGGGAAACUUGUGCUAAUACCGAAUGUGCCCUUCGGGGGAAAGAUUUAUCGCCAUUAGAGCGGCCCGCGUCUGAUUAGCUAGUUGGUGAGGUAACGGCUCACCAAGGCGACGAUCAGUAGCUGGUCUGAGAGGAUGACCAGCCACACUGGGACUGAGACACGGCCCAGACUCCUACGGGAGGCAGCAGUGGGGAAUCUUGCGCAAUGGGCGAAAGCAUGACGCAGCCAUGCCGCGUGAAUGAUGAAGGUCUUAGGAUUGUAAAAUUCUUUCACCGGGGACGAUAAUGACGGUACCCGGAGAAGAAGCCCCGGCUAACUUCGUG